CCCUUAGAUGUUCUGGGCUGCACACGUGCUACACUGGCAGGUUCAGCGAGCUUCAUGCCCUGAUCUGAAAGGAAUGGGAAAUCUUUUCAAAACCUGCCGUGCUUGGGAUAGAUGUUUGCAAUUAUUCAUCUUCAACGAGGAUUGCCUUGUAAGCGCACGUCAUCAGCGUGCAUUGAAUACGACCCUGUAUUCUGUACACACCGCCCGUCGCUCCUACCGAUUGAAUGAUCCGAUGAAUAUCAUGGAUUGAGGAUGCAAGUAGGUUAGCCUAUCUUCAUCUUCGAGAAGUGAAGUAAAUCUUAUCAUUUAGAGGAAGGAGAAGUCGUAACA
rnacentral:rRNA from 1 species